UCGGAUGUGGUCCAGUGGCAGGACAGCGGCUUCCAAACCCGCCAACGGGAGUUCGAUUCUCUCCAUCCGGG
rnacentral:tRNA from 1 species